CUCCUUCCCAUUACCCCAUAUUCCAGUGAGGGUACCGAACACUCACAGAGGCACCUGAACACCCUACGCAAGGUCACAGAUGGGGUAAAAUCCCAGGUCUGGCACAGGAUAGUAGGAGCCCCUGAUCCCUGUGGUCCUGAUUUUGCCGUCAUUGCGCAAAGCACACGGGAUGGGGUGAGGCGGCCGUGGGUGCUCAGCCACUGUGGGGUAGCUCUGUGUCUAUGCUUGCCCUUUUCCUCCACAGAAUCAGAACCGAGACCCCCGGGAAUGGAAGGCUCAUUUCUUGGAGGCUGUGGAUGAUGCUUUCAAGACAAUGGAUGUGGAUAUGGCCGAGGAACAUGCCAGGGCCCAGAUGAGGGCCCAGAUGAAUAUCGGGGACGAAGCUCUGAUUGGACGGUGGAGCUGGGAUGACAUACAAGUCGAGCUCCUGACCUGGGAUGAGGACGGAGAUUUUGGCGACGCCUGGGCCAGGAUCCCUUUGCUUUCUGGGCCAGAUACCAUCAGUACAUUCUGAAUAGCAACCGUGCCAACAGGAGGGCCACGUGGAGAGCUGGUGUCAGCAGUGGCACCAAUGGAGGGGCCAGCACCAGCGUCCUAGAUGGCCCUAGCACCAGCUCCACCAUCCGGACCAGAAAUGCCGCCAGAGCUGGCGCCAGCUUCUUCUCCUGGAUCCAGCACCGUUGACGAACUGCAGCGAUCUUACUGGCCAAGCCAGAGUGCCUCCUCUCAGAUUCCUUCUCGACACAGCACCCUAGGCAGCUUCUUCCUGUCAGUCAGAAGUGGCAUGCAAGAUGAAGCUCUCUUUGCUCUUCCUGCUUUCAUUUUGUGCUUUCCUUGCGCUUUCAUGUUUUGGGUAUCAGUGUUACAUUAAAGUUGCAAAAUUAAUUUGGACGUUUCUUCCUUUACCUGCACACCCGGUGCUAUACCUGGCCGUGCUUGGGCUUGUAGCAAGGAAACUUCUUCAGGCUCUCUGGGAUAGGUGGGCCCCACCUCUGCCAAAAAGACCCACAGGGACAGGUGGGAUGCUGGGAGGUGCAGAGGUUGGUUACACUUGAGUGUGCGACCAGGGAGUUUGGAGAGGCCCCAGUGCUCACGGUUAUGUGAUUUUCUAGAAGCCUUCCUUGCUCAGCAGCCCCAGGGACAUGGCAAGGGGGGCGGCCAGAGCAGGGGUUGGGUGGAAGACUGCAGCUUGGUGCCACUGCCCCUCCCGCCGAGGGACAGGGUCCAAGGCUCUCACCAGGAUCCACCUCCCACACCCCCUCCUUGGAGACGAUGUUCUGGAACCCUUGG
rnacentral:lncRNA from 1 species